GUCUCCAGAUGCGUGUCUACUGCUGAGUUGCAGGGGAAACCAGCAAGCAUGGUGAUCCGUGCCCCUGCUCACCUCUCCUCUAAGACCUGGCACUGCCCAUCCACCUGGACGACUUCCUGCUUUUCAGAUAUCAGAAUGCAGGUGUGCCUGUGGAGUGGUACAACUGCAUCCUUUUCUCUCAGCGCAACCCGAGUGGACAUCGACACGUUCAGAUUUAGCAGAGAUUCUUUUUUUCGCCAGUUCUUUCUACCCAUUAAAUGUGUUGCAGUAUCGGGAUUUGCCUGUGUGAGUGGCUUUAAAAGGAGGAAACCAGAGGACAAGAGCAGUUGCAUAUUGACGGUGUCAUGGAUGCCCUCUAACUUUAUCCAGUAGAGCUGUGGCAAGGAUGAAGAGAGUGAGCAUGUGUAAAGGGCUGCUGGUUGUGCACUCCGUGAACCUCUGCGCUUAUGGAAAGAAGAGACAUUUUGCUGGAAGGUUUGGGCUUCCAACUUUCCUGCUGACCGAGCUUGAACUGCUAGAAGGGGAAAAACAAACAGAGAUUCCACCUGCACCACGAGCCGGCCCCAGAGUAAACAUUCCACACACAUCGGCUGGGUUAUCUCCAGAAUGAUCCUGCAUGGCUGGUGCUGUUAUUAUCUCCAUGUUACAGGACUCAAAGAACUGGUCAGGGCUUAGCAGCCCCGGGACAACCUUGCCUGGAUGGAAGAUUUCACCUUUGGCGGAAAGGAGGCAAACUCAGCCAUGCUCUCAAGCAAAUUCCAACUGGGAUGCAGGUUUUCUUUCUCUUUUCCUGUUCCCCCUCUAGUUUAGAAGAGCUACUGCAUUGGCUGAUUCCCCAGGUUAGGAUUCCAAGGAAGCAAAAGUAAGAGUUAUUUCUUCAUUGAGCCUCAAGAGCCCUUUCAAUCCACUUGUUGUUGGCCCCAAGCCAAAGCCAGUUACCUUCUGAUGGAAAGAAAUGAUUUCCGUGUUAAUAUGAUUUGUAUCUGGCAAAUCCAUGCAGCCUGCUGAUUAUCAUCAUAUUCCUGGCCUUCCGUUCUUUUCAAAAUGACAGGCUAUUGAUCCAGCCUUCUCCCAGUUUUGAAGUUUAUGGAAAAGGACGUCUCCACGGUACAGUUCAUUCCCACUGGUCCUCGAGCUGCAGGGGAGACAUGUUGACUUUUGAAUUUCAGGUACUUUCCCUGCCCCUUUCAAUGAGGACCAAGCACUAAGAAUCUUCUGAUGCCUACCAGGCACAAUGCUGAGCCCAGAGUCGGCCCUCAGAGCUCGCUGAGCAGAACGGAGCUGGGGGUACCUGUCUCUCCCACCCUCCUCUGAGACUUUGCCCUUUAAAUUCAUCAGUGGCAGCACCGUGGGUUCUCUCCGCAGAGGCAGCGGCAUAGCCGGGCAUCUUCUCUUACCGACACUUUCUCUGUUUGGUGUGCGCUUAACAACCACCUUGAGGCUGGGUGAGAACCAGACUUGUUUUGAGGGACUCUGGGAAGGCAGAGCUGGGCUGUGGCCCUGGGUAUCCUGGCUCCAGGCCCAGUGCUCUUUCCCCUCAUCUUAUCCUCACAUCCCUCUCAGGCACCCUUCCAAGGCAGGCAGCGUAGCCCCACCAGCACUUAGACGGCAUCUUGGCCCUGCCGUUCAGGAGCUGCGGGAUCUUGAGCAGAUGUUAUCUUUCUAAGCCUCAGUUUCUCCAUCUGUUAACUGGAGCUAAGAAUGCCCCGGUCAGCAAUCCUCAGGGCCAUUGCACAAGUUAAAUGAGAUGAUGCCAGUGAAGCUUCUCACACAGAGGUUAUCUCUGAGUUAGGGCCCAAUAGCUGUUUACUGGUGUGACUGGUGAUACUAUUGUUCUUUGGGGGAAACUGUUCUCUCUCUGAGCCAAGACCAAUGGCUCGAUCCGUAGGUCUUUCCUCAGCCUUGGUCUGGAUGUGGUCAUCAUUCCUCCAUCCACCUCCCUUUCUUAUUCUCUAAAUGAAAGAACCUGUCCUUUCAGCCAAAAGAAUUUGUCAGUGUUACCUGAGUUUCUAAGAUAUUUAGAAAGCCUCUUUCAAGGAGAAUCCUUAGAGACAGCAUGAAAAGAGAGUCAGGCCAGACAUCUGCCCCAUGAGGAGGAAGCCCGGAUUCUGGCCAACCACCUCUUCCCUCAUCUUCCUUUGUGGAGCAGAAACUUCACUAGAGACUGGAUUGAGCUGGCCCCCUGGUCUGGAUGUGGCCCUGAAACAGCACUGCUCAGCUGCCUCCAUCCCCUCCCCACCCAUCUGGGUACCAUGUCCUGCUGACUCUGUCUCCAUGACUCAUCUGAGUUUCCCUGUCAAACCCAGUGCCACCACCCCAGGCCAUGCUCCUCAUGCAUGGACAAUUAACUAGCCACUACCUAACGAGUCUUCUCGCCUUCAGGUUCUUAAGGAAUCCAGAACUCUGGACCAGACUGGGCUUCCUGGAGCCUGGCGCUGUUGGUGUGCCUUCUCAGCAGACUCCCACUUUAUAAAGCAAGCUUCUAAGCCUAGGCCAGGCAGAAUGUGGCCAACCCUGUCCCCCUGUCUCAUGUCACUGUCCUCCAUUAGGGCUGCACACCAUGUCCCGCACUCACGUUUCCCAAACACCCAUCCAAGGUGCUUUGAAAAAAUGAGUGUUCCGAGGCAUGACCCAAAUCUACUGAGACUUACUGCAGGUAGAUCCGGGGAAUCUAUAUUUAUAAAAGUGUUCCAGGGGACCAAAGCCCCAUCAGGGGUGGGAACCACUGUGCACAGGGCUGCCAGGGAGGUCUGUGCUCAGCCCCCACGCUUAUCACAUACUCCCACUUCCACACAUGCCACCCUCUUUGCCCACCAUCCAGGCUCUGCCUGCUAAUUUCUCCCCAUCUUUCAAGGCCCACGUCCAAGAACCUCUCCUCCAGGAAGUUUCUCCAGAUUCCUCCAGCAGAAGUAUGCCUCAUCUCCCAACAUCCUGUCCUCCCUCUCUGCUAUAUUCUGGGCAUCCCUUAAAGUCUGCCUCCACUGCCUCAUCUCCUGGCCCCUGGACAAAAGGAAGAUGUCGCUGUGGCUGGCUGCUCUCCAUCCUUUCCCCAUCCACUUGCAGAUAAUAGUAUUUAUGGAAUAGGAGCCUCUUAAGGAUUCAUGAGCUAUCCAUCUAGAGGACUUUGAAUUGUGCCAAGAGAUGUUAGCUCUCCGAAUCCUCACAGCCAUCAUGGCAUCUUCAUUCAGGUUUUUGGGGUUAUUUGUGUGCCCACAUUUUCUCCCUCGAGUUCCUGUUGACAGCAAGACUGUCCUGUUCCUCUUCCCACCCACUGCGACACUUGACACCAUACAGCUUUGGCAUGUAUACAGGACAUGUCAUAGUACUGGCUGGAUGGUGACAUGCUCUGAUACGGUUAACCGCUCCCCCUGUACCACUCUCUUCUCUCCCCACCUGGCCCUACCACUGCAGUUUGCCCUCAAAGAACUUAGCACUCUUAGAGUUUGUAAUUAUGUCUUUACUUUUUGCAAUUAUUUGAUUAUCAUCUGAUAUUUUCACCAAGUUCUAAGUUCCCUGAAGGCAGGGAUUUUAAAGUCAUUAAUUAGCCACCCCUAAUUAAUCUAAAAUUGAUUCAUUAACCUACCAAUGGACUUUUUUUUUUUGGUUCUCCUAAUUAUACUAAUAUAAUAGAGGGGGUUCUGAAUAGUAGAGCAAUUAUGGUAAACGAGUUCUACGAGUAGCUAGAACUAUAUUCAGUGACCAUAUCAGAGUCUAGAUCAAUCAGAGCAUAGUUAAUUGGGUUAUUGACGGAGGUACAAGGUAGGCUUCAAUGUGGGCUCUGCAGUCAGGUGGGCUAGUUUGGGACAAUCUCACUUGUUACCUGUGUGACUAUAAACAAGGCCGUGACUCUACGCUUCUCAUCCGUAAAAUGGAGAUAAGAGUAGAUGGACCUCAUAGGAUCACUGGGCAUGUGAAAUGCUUACUCAGGAAGUUAGUUAUUAUGACGAUAAUACUGCUGACUUCCAAAUAACAUCAAACGAACCUAAUUAAAUGUUUAUGGGUAAGAUCAUGGGCUUCCAUUUUCUUAUCUGUGGGGAUAGUUUUUAUAAUAAAAAUGAUGAGCUGUUUACAAGGGAACAAUAAUGAUGGAGAUUUAGGGCCCAUCCAAGUACAUCCCAACCCCUGACCAGAAAUAUACUCACUUUAUAGAAAAUAAAGUCAUCACAGGUUUUACUUCCUCAAGGAAAGUUUAAGCAGAUUUAAAUUUUUCCUCAUAGAAAAACUAAAAUGAGUGAUUUGGGAACCAGGACAAAGAAAAAAAAGGGAAGGUCUCCAUUCAACCCCAUUCACCUGCUCUUCCAGCUGUAGGGCACUUGCCCUCCUGGAACUUUGAUGACAAACACAGAAUAUCACUGUGACCUUAAUAAAAUCUAGAGCCCUGCACUGUUUACGCACAAGGUCAUAUUCGAAAUCACGCAAUGCAAGGCCCACAGGCAAUUAAAGGGGAAUUGCUCAUCUUUAUUAGUAUCUCCCAAAGUACAGUUGGCCCUCUGUAUCUGUGGGUUUCACAUCUGAAAUUUCCAUCCACAGGUAGGAGAUGGAUAUGGAGGGCCGGCUAUAUUCAUUGUUCUCCAUUAUUUUAUGGAAGAGACAGGCCCAUUCAUGGAUUUGGAUUCACCUGGAGCCACCCCCAGGCAUACUGAGAGACAGCCGUACAUUAAAAGGGACUCGGGUGUUGCUGUUGUGGCUCAGCCUGUUGAAAACCCGACUAGUAUCCAUAAGGAUGCAGGUUCGAUCCCUGGCCUCACUCAGUGGGUGGAGGAUUCAGUGUUGUCGUGAGCUGUGGUGUAGGACGCAGAUGAGGCGUGGAUCCAGCAUUGCUGUGGCUGUGGUGUAGGCCAGUAGCUGCAGCUCCAAUUCGACCCCUAGCCCGGGAACUUCCAUAUGCCACAGCUGUGGCCCUAAAAAGAAAAAAAAAAAGUGAUUCAGUUCAUAGGUCACCAUAGUAUAUGUCAGAAGCACCUCCUCUCUGCCCUCAGAGAUGCUAUUUGGAGAUACUCCAAACCCCAGAUGCUUCCUCAAGCCUCAGCCCCUGGUAAAGGGUGUAGACCUUUCUCCUCCUACCUCCCUACUUGCUCCUUCUAUUGAUUGACCUCAUCCCUUUACCUCCCCACCCCCAACCCCUUCCACCUACCCCCUCUUCCCACAUCACAAAAGAUCCUGGACUGGGGCUGAUUAAAAGCUCUCCUUUACUGGAGGAGUGCUGGGCAGGGGCAGGCGGCAUAGAGGAUGACUAUCGUCUUUCCGGCUCCCUCUUUCAGAAACUGAAAAUUCUGUUUCUUUUCUGACUGUAGGUCACUGUCAUGGAACUGUUGACUAGGAUACGUAACUCAGGUUAGGUCAACCAGAUUCUCCCUGCUACCUCUCCCGGCAGCAGUGCCCCAGUGAGGCUCCUGAUUGGUUCCUGCCUUCCCCACCCCCUUGCUACCCAGACCUCUGCCACUGUCCAAGCCCAAUUCUUCAAUUUUCUCUACACCCUGCGAGCUGUCAAAAAUCUUUCCAACAAAUGUGUCUGCGUAAUUUGUCCACGUUGAUUUCUGUUGUUUGCAACCAAAGAACACUAGGUUAAUACCAAAAACUCUCAUAUUAAUCCAUCUUGUCACCAUCUCUGUUUGUGAGAUUACAGCUGCAGACCUGGACCAAUGAACCUGAAUUUAACUGAAGUAAUUUAUGGCAACACAAGGCCAAAAAGCAGCCUCCAUCAAAUUUGCUUUCUGGAGUUCCCCUUGUGGCUCAGAGGGUUAAGAGCCCAACAUAGUGCCCACGAGGAUGUGGGUUCAAACCCUGGCCUCGCUCAGUGUGUUAAGGAUCCCUUGUUGCUGUGGCUGUGGCAGAGGCCAGCAGCUGCAGCUCCAAUGUGACCUCUAGCCCUGGAACUUCCAUAUGCCACAGGUGCGGCUGUAAAAAAACUUUUUUUAAAAUUUGCUUUCUACUACCAUUUCUCAUUCUCUAACAAAAUCAUUCGGACCUACCUAAAAUUCCUGAUGAGGCAAAGAGUAAUGGUUACUCAAACAUUUUGUAAAACCUAUGUUCACUUUCUAGAGGCUAUGUUCAGUAAUAAAAAUAACAUGUACC
rnacentral:lncRNA from 1 species